rnacentral:lncRNA from 1 species
UACACUUUAAGAGAACAUAAAGCUCAUAUAGUUACAUAAUACAUCUAUCUCUAAAUAAUAACUGGUGCCAUUCGAAAGAACUGACAAAAAGCUACAAUUUGAUGUUUGUUUUGUUUUUAUACAAUCAAAAAUGUCCGACCAACAAUCAAAACAGCAGAGGGUGUGUUAUAUCCUCCGCACACAAGUAAAUCUCCGACAAGAAGAUCUUCACAGUGGACGCUGUUCUGAACAGGAGAAAUUAUAACUUCUUGGCUGAAUCAAGAAAUCAGGCCGAGGACCAAACAUUCAGUUUAGGUUAUAUUUCUUGGUGUACUGGCGUCCAACUACAGUAAAAUGCCUCCCUUCAAGGCCAACGAGAAAGUCAACUACUGAGGAGUUGUGUGUUUAUUUAUUUAUAUCAAGUUGCGUCACAUUUUAUGCAAAGUCAUUUCGUAUAUAUUAUCUUGUAUAUAAUAUAAUAAAGAAGUAACUCAAUAGGUGAAAAAGUGAAGAAUUAUUCCUUUAGUGUGAGAACCUAAUCACUGCAAUUAAUUACAUAUCAUGGCGCAGGCGGUAAUUACUAAUAAUUAUAGCUAAGAAUCUUUAAAAACUUUUAUUUAAAAAAAUAUUAAGUGGAUUUUAAGUUAUAAAAAUUGAUAAGUGAAAAUGCUUGGAAGAGGUGACGACUUGAAGAAGCAAUCACCUAGUAACAAGGCUCAAGUAACCAGAGCUGUUAAUAGCAUAAACAGUUUGUGUAAGUCCCUAUUAGCACGGAAAACAUCUGGAGGUAAAUUAUUCCUAGAUGAAGCAAGGAUUCGUCUUUAAAAAAAUCUAUGAAUCAUUGGAGGAUCAUUAUAUGGAAUUGAUGGACAUGAUCCAAAUCAAAUAGAUGAAUACAAUACCCAAUUGGAGGAAUAUAAUACAAAAUAUCAAGAGACACUAGAGAAGCUUUUAGAUACUAUGUCUUUGAAUGAGCAACCAGCUGAACCAACUUUAAAUAAACCACCCGAACAUUCUAGUAGCAUUAUCCAUAUUGACAACUCUUCACUACCUUUUAAUUGAACAAAGGAUUAUAAUCCUCAUGAAUUAGCUGAAUGGGUCAAAAGUUUCAAAAGUGUACUAUACUCAAAAUUCAAUUGAUAAAUUUCCACUGGAUGUUCAAGAGAAUUGAUGCUAGUCUGAGAGCGAGAAUAAGUCUUAUAAUAUACAAGGCGCUACUCCGGUUUUUUCUGAGGUUGAAGAUGGAUGUGUAAAAGCUUUAGAGGAUGAAUUUCCUCAUCUGUGCCCUCCAUUCCAAAGAAGAUUAGAUUUUUUUCAAUAUUCCCAAGGAUCUGGACAAUCAUGGGCCGAUUUUGUUGCAUACUUGGAACAAAAAGAAGAACAUCUGAGAUUAAUGUUGAUAAUCUCCAUGUUUUCGUUACGUUAAUUGAACUACAGACAAUACAUUAAGAAAAAAAUUGCAAAAUUUCGAAAAUCCCACCAGAGAAGAAGUCAAGCGCACAGGUCGUGUAUACCAGGCAGCUACAUCAUGUCAAAUGGCAAUGAAUCCUAUAUCUCAUACAUCAAAUAAGAUGAAAAGUAACUUCUUCAAAAAGGAUAAAAAUGUAAGAAAGGUAUGUAAGCGGUGUGGAAGUACUAGUCAUAUCAAAGGUUGCCCUCGUAUAGAAUCAGCUAUAUGUUUCAAAUGAGGAAAACCAGGAAAUUUGUCUUCCUUUUUUCUUACUAAGGCAAAUCCAAAUUCAAAAUUCAACACAAAAUCCAAUAGUCGAUAUAUCUCAAGAAUGAACAGUCCAGAACGUUAUCCAUCAUCCAAAAUUUAUAUUAAUCAGAUCAAA